UACGUAGGUGGCAAGCGUUUGUCCGGAUUUAUUGGGUUUAAAGGGUGCGUAGGCGGCUUUGUAAGUCAGUGGUGAAAUACUCCAGCUUAACUGGAGGGGUGCCAUUGAUACUGCGGAGCUUGAGUACAGAUGAGGUAGGCGGAAUUGACGGUGUAGCGGUGAAAUGCAUAGAUAUCGUCAAGAACACCGAUAGCGAAGGCAGCUUACUGGGCUGUAACUGACGCUGAUGCACGAAAGUGUGGGGAUCAAACAGG
rnacentral:rRNA from 1 species